rnacentral:rRNA from 1 species
GAUGAACGCUAGCGGCAGGCUUAAUACAUGCAAGUCGAGGGACAGCACAGGUAGCAAUACUGGGUGGUAACCGGCAAACGGGUGCGGAACACGUACACAACCUUCCUUUAAGUGGGGGAUAGCCCAGAGAAAUUUGGAUUAAUACCCCGUAAUAUAGUUGAAUGGCAUCAUUUGAUUAUUAUAGCUACGGCGCUUAAUGAUGGGUGUGCGGCUGAUUAGAUAGUUGGCGGGAUAACGGCCCACCAAGUCUACGAUCAGUAGCUGAUGUGAGAGGAGGAUCGGGCACACGGGAACUGCGACACGAGCCCGACUCAUACGGGAGGCAGCAGUAAGGAAUAUUGGUCAAUGGACGCAAGUCUGAACCAGCCAUGCCGCGUGAAGGAUUAAGGUCCUCUGGAUUGUAAACUUCUUUUAUUUGGGACGAAAAAGGGCCUUUCUAGGUCAACUGACGGUACCAGAUGAAUAAGCACCGGCUAACUCCGUGCCAGCCGCCGCCGUAAAAC